GACGAACGCUGGCGGCGUGCUUAACACAUGCAAGUCGAACGAGUGGCGAACGGGUGAGUAAUACGUGAGUAACCUGCCCUCUUUUUGGGAUAAGCCUUGGAAACGGGGGCUAAUACGGGAUAAAGGGGGAUGGGCUCGCGGCAUAUCAGCUUGUUGGUGGGGUGAUGGCCUACCAAGGCGGUGACGGGUAGCCGGCCUGAGAGGGUGGCCGGCCACAUUGGGACUGAGAUACGGCCCAGACUCCUACGGGAGGCAGCAGUGGGGGAUAUUGCCCAAUGGGCGAAAGCCUGAUGCAGCGACGCCGCGUGGGGGAUGAAGGCUUUCGGGUUGUAACCCUCUUUCGCUAUCGAACCCUUAUGUUUCGCUGAAGCGCCGGCUAACUACGUGCCAGCAGCCGCGGUACUUC
rnacentral:rRNA from 1 species